AUACGUAGGGGGCGAGCGUUGUCCGAAUUUACUGGGCGUAAAGCGCGUGUAGGCGGUUCUUUAAGUCAGGUGUGAAAUCCUGUGGCUCAACCACAGAACUGCAUUUGAAACUGAAGGGCUUGAGUAUGGGAGAGGAAAGUGGAAUUCCUGGUGUAGCGGUGAAAUGCGUAGAUAUCAGGAGGAACACCCGUGGCGAAGGCGGCUUUCUGGCCCAUCACUGACGCUGAGACGCGAAAGCUAGGGGAGCGAACGGGAUUAGAUACCCCGGUAGUCCUAGCCGUAAACGAUGGAUACUAGGUGUAAGAGGUAUCGACCCCUCUUGUGCCGUAGCUAACGCAUUAAGUAUCCCGCCUGGGGAGUACGGCCGCAAGGUUGAA
rnacentral:rRNA from 1 species